rnacentral:rRNA from 1 species
GAUGAACGCUGGCGGCGUGCCUAAUACAUGCAAGUCGAGCGAACAGACGAGGAGCUUGCUCCUCUGACGUUAGCGGCGGACGGGUGAGUAACACGUGGAUAACCUACCUAUAAGACUGGGAUAACUUCGGGAAACCGGAGCUAAUACCGGAUAACAUGUUGAACCGCAUGGUUCAACAGUGAAAGACGGUCUUGCUGUCACUUAUAGAUGGAUCCGCGCCGCAUUAGCUAGUUGGUAAGGUAACGGCUGACCAAGGCAACGAUGCGUAGCCGACCUGAGAGGGGGAUCGGCCACACUGGAACUGAGACACGGUCCAGACUCCUACGGGAGGCAGCAGUAGGGAAUCUGCCGCAAUGGGCGAAAGCCUGACGGAGCAACGCCGCGUGAGGGAAGAAGGUCUUCGGAUCGUAAAACUCUGUUAUUAGGGAAGAACAAAUGUGUAAGUAACUAUGCACGUCUUGACGGUACCUAAUCAGAAAGCCACGGCUAACUACGUG